UAAAAAAAAUUUGAAUUAAGCUUAAUUUAAGUCAGGGCUGCAAACACAAUCAUACGUUAAUCAUAAUGUACAGGUUACAGGGGUGGGCAAAUGAGAAUAGGAUAGGAUUCAAUACUGACAAGUGCAGGGUGCUG